GACGAACGCUGGCGGCAAGCUUAACACAUGCAAGUCGAACGCCGUAGCAAUACGGAGUGGCAGACGGGUGAGUAACACGUGGGAACGUGCCUUUCGGUUCGGAACAACUGAGGGAAACUUCAGCUAAAACCGGAUACGCCCUUCGGGGGAAAGUUUACGCCGAAAGGUCGGCCCGCGUCAGAGUAGGUAGUUGGCGGGGUAAUGGCCCACCAAGCCGAUGAUCUGUAGCUGUUCUGAGAGGGAGAUCAGCCACACUGGGACUGAGACACGGCCCAGACUCCUACGGGGGGCAGCAGUGGGGAAUAUUGGACAAUGGGCGCAAGCCUGAUCCAGCUAUGCCGCGUGGAUGAAGAAGGCCUUCGGGUUGUAAAGUCCUUUCGGCGGGGAAGAUAAUGACGGUACCCGCAGAAGAAGCCCCGGCUAAUUUCGUGCCAGCCGCCGCAGUAACAC
rnacentral:rRNA from 1 species